rnacentral:rRNA from 1 species
UACGUAGGGUGCGAGCGUUAAUCGGAAUUACUGGGCGUAAAGCGUGCGCAGGCGGCUUUGCAAGACAGAUGUGAAAUCCCCGGGCUCAACCUGGGAACUGCAUUUGUGACUGCAAGGCUAGAGUACGGCAGAGGGGGAUGGAAUUCCGCGUGUAGCAGUGAAAUGCGUAGAUAUGCGGAGGAACACCAAUGGCGAAGGCAAUCCCCUGGGCCUGUACUGACGCUCAUGCACGAAAGCUAGGGGAGCAAACAGG